GCUACUUCCAUGGCAAGAACAGUCAUCAUUUAACAUGCACAAUAGUAAUUUGUUCUUUGACAAAUAUAAAAGAGUGUUGGUAAGAGAGAAAAUUGGGCUUGAGUGCGUCUGGAACAUGGACGAACUUGGUAUAACUACAGUUUCACCACCUGAGAAGAUUGUAGGUCGAAAAGGCCAGAAACAAAUACGAGAAAGAGGGGUGUUGGUGACGGUUGUUUGUGCAGUUUCCAGCUACGGCAAUACUAUUCCACCCUUCUUUGUCUUUCCUCGCUUCAAUAAUUGAAGAACUACGACUUUUUCCAAAAGCUGGACCUCACACAGCUCCAAAAUCAAAUAAUGGUAGAAGGAAGAGAACAUCUGCUGUACUUACGGACACUCCAAUCAAAGAUGUAAUCAAAUCUAAGAAAGCAGCUGUUAAAACCAAAGCGGCAAGAAAAAUUUUUGCAUCCAAAGAACCGACCAAAACUAAACCAAUCAAACCCAAACAAACAAGGAGAAAGAAAGAGAAGGGUGAAUCGUUCUGCCCAGAAUAUGCCGGGCGUUAUUCAACAACAAAAGAAGAUUGGAUCCAUUGUUUAAACAAUUGCGGUUUAUGGGCAUGCGAGAACUGCGUCAACGACAGAUGAAAAGAUGACGCAAGUUAUGUUUGCUCAAAUUGUUCUAAGAUGGCUCUGUAGUAGGCCCUAUGUCGAA